CACAUGAUUACUUGCCUUAAGUAAAGGACAUUCUAAUGAUGAAUAGAAUGACAUCCUGUUGAUGCAACUAGAGUUUCACUUUGUUCAUAUUUUAUUUACCAGGACAACUUGUCAAUCAACAAGGAACCCUACCCUGAUAAUCACGCCCAGCUAAUGAACUGUGUUACUGCGCCAAACGUGACGCUUUAGAGAAAAGAGCUUUCAGGUCGAAGGUCAAAUUGGUACCGAUAUGGGCUCCAGCAGCAGCCUCAGUCGUUGGGGCAGGUCAUGAUGCAUGCAUUAUCUCAAUUAUCUUUGAACAUUCCAAACUCACAGUAAUAGUACACAAACAUGACCUGCAUGGUGGAGAUGUGAAUAAAAUGAGUAUUAAAUCCCAAAAACCAAGGAGAGGUUAUAUAGGAAUCUAUUUUCUUGUCAAGCGGAAUCCUAGCAACCAAGCCACAUCAGCACAGCAACAAAACAGUUUCAGCAGCAGUUGUAUACAAAACAUCAACAACAGUGGUGCAUAUGCAUUAAACUACGAGCGGAAACCUGGAAAGCAAAGCGUUGAGUUUGUUCUGGAAGCAUUUGCAGUCACAGCAAAUGAACCGACAGCAGUCAUCGUCUCGAGAUUCUGGCAUAUAUAUGGCGCCGGGCCCUAAGUCUAUGAAAAUCAUGCAGCGAUAUCUAUGGAUGCCAAUUGACGAAAUAAAACUGGCCAAUCAGAAACACAGCCUGUUGCAGUAGUUUUUACCAUAUUGACUCCAGUCAAACAUGAGAAGCUCAGAGAUCAAUACUGUUUAAGAUGUGCUAUUCUCUACAUACCUGGUGGUCUGUUAAGCAUUAACUCUGACAGGUCUCAUCUUUGAAUUGUGUGAAGGGUGAAAAAUUGAAAAAUGAAUGUUCAGAAUAAAGUGCCACAAUGAUUAAGCGCACCAUUUCAGGUGGAAAGCCAUAAAUAAAUGUGCCCAAUCAAGCUGUGUUCAAAGUCAAACACUAUGUCAUGUCUUAUGGAAACGUUAAUGCUGUCAGUCAUUUACAAUUGAACAUUUGUGUUAAAUGUAGUUAAAUAUAAUAAGAUUAAUGCUACUUAAAUGGUAAAGGCGUGCAUGUUAAGUAUUACUUUAAGCACACAUAUUGUACGUCUAUUCAAUCACUGUGUUUGUAUUAUGAAACUUGCACCUGAUUGUGGUAAAUUAAUGGAUUUUUUUUUGUCAUACAUCGAGUGUAAUAUAAGUCAAAGCUGUUUACUUGAUGCUGGUAACUUGAACGAAAUAAAAAAAAUAUGUAUGUUAUCCUGUUCAUGUUAUAAGCAUGUUUCAGUUUUCUGUUUUUACAUGCCAUAUAGAAGUGCUAUUUAAAAUGUCUGUUAAGAAAGGUUGAGAAUUAUUACGCUUCCGCUUAUAAAUCUUUUAGUAAUUUAGAAACAUAUUUAGUUUGCUCAUUUGGGCCAAUAUUUAAUCAAUAAUGGUGUUAAGUAUGGCAAUAUUUGAAAUGAAUAUCAAUUAAAUUUAAACACAAUUAUAUAAUCUUGUUUAAGUUGUCAAUUCUGUAUUUACUACAAUUACUAUUAUUUAUUUGAAUUGAGAUGGUUUGUUAAAUUAUAAGAUAAUGACUUUUAUUUGGAAUGCUUUCACUGUUUUGAAACUGUUUUUUAAAUAAAUGAUUAAAAGAAUUAUGCUAAGCUUCAUGAAUAAUGGCAAAAGUUAUGCUUAUUUUUGCCUAUUGUGUCUUGUUAUAUAAUAUACUUACAUGCACACAAGUGUUGACAUUUGUUUUCGGACAUAAUAAUUGUUUUAUGUUUUACAUGCGUGUAUAUACACAUUUAGAAGACCAGAUUUUAAUCCUCUCAAAUCACUGAGUAACUUUACCAUCAAUUAAUGUUUUAUCACUGCAUAUAGAUACAUUUUGCAAUUGAUAUAUAGUGCAACUGCAAAACAAUUGUAUG